CUAUUUGUAUUCCCCAUAAUUAACUUCAUUCCAAACAAACUAAAUAAAUAAAAACUCAUAUUUUCAUUCCACACAUCGACGAAAACCGAAGGUCCUUCUCUCUUUCUCUUCACUACUUUUCCCCUUUUAUUUUCUUUCUCUCUCAUUUUGCUUCUUUUCUCUUUUUGAUUCUUUCUUGCAUGCACUUUACUAUGAAAGAUUGAUUAAUGCUUGCAAAGCCAAUUUUUUCAGAACCCUAACCUUCUCUUCUCACAACAAAAAAGAAUCCAUUUAAAAAUACCAAUUAUUUGUUUAAUCAAUAUCAAUAUCAAGUUUAACAAUUUACCAAAACCAUAGCCAAAACCACUCACAAGAUGCUCGAAACGAUUAAAUACUUGAUCGGUUGGCCCGGUCUAAUAGGAUUUGGAUCCAAAUCCACCGCCGAACAAUUUACCGAAACCCACGGCGAACUUUGUUCAAUAACCGCCAUCAGAUGAAGGGCUGUGAUGAUUUGGAAACUUGAUUGGGGAUUUGAGUUUAGGAAACUGAAUUUGGUUUUGGUUGAUUGUGUCAGGGAACUUUGCUUCUUGCUUCCAUUGUUGUUGGUCUGCUUAGUUAUACUCACUCAACUCACUAAUAAUUAUAUUUAAAGGUAUGAAGUUUUUGUCAUCUUUAAAUUGAAAGAGCAUUGGGUGGUUGGUUCAAUAUAUUAUCAAGUGCAUGUUACUUUAAAACAAGUAUUCUUGAUACUAAUAUAUUAGCUUUACAAUGGUGUCACUUUUAUUAUGUUUCUAAUAUCUUAAUUUUGGUGAAAUCUUAUAGAUCAUUUGAUUUCUUUCUUCCCGUCUCUCUUCAACUACCAGUAAAGGAGCUUCGAAAUUCUUUAAUGUCUCCAAUGAAUGUGUUUCAGAUCAAU